rnacentral:rRNA from 1 species
UGGGGAAUAUUGCACAAUGGGCGAAAGCCUGAUGCAGCGACGCCGCGUGAGCGAAGAAGUAUUUCGGUAUGUAAAGCUCUAUCAGCAGGGAAGAUAAUGACGGUACCUGACUAAGAAGCACCGGCUAAAUACGUGCCAGCAGCCGCGGUAAUACGUAGGGGGCAAGCGUUAUCCGGAUUUACUGGGUGUAAAGGGAGCGUAGACGGAACGGCAAGUUUGAAGUGAAAUACCCGGGCUUAACCCGGGAACUGCUUUGAAAACUGUCGAUCUAGAGUGUCGGAGAGGUAAGUGGAAUUCCUGGUGUAGUAGUGAAAUGCGUAGAUAUCAGGAAGAACACCGGAGGCGAAGGCGGCUUACUGGACGAUAACUGACGUUGAGGCUCGAAAGCGUGGGGAGCAAACAGGAUUAGAUACCCUGGUAGU